rnacentral:tRNA from 1 species
CUUAAUAUGGCAGAUUAGUGCAAUGAAUUUAAGAUUCAUUUAUAAAGAAAUAUUCUUUUAUUAAGA